rnacentral:rRNA from 1 species
AGAGUUUGAUCAUGGCUCAGGACGAACGCUGGCGGCGUGCCUAACACAUGCAAGUUGAGCGACGAACCAGGGCUUGCCCUGGGGCAAAGCAGCGAACGGGUGAGUAACACGUGGGUAACGUGCCCCGAUAACCGGGACAACCCGAGGAAACUCGGGCUAAUACCGGAUGUGCCCACCAGACAUCAGUCUGGUGUGUAAAGGAAGCUUCGGCCUCCGUAUCGGGAGCGGCCCGCGGCCCAUUAGUUAGUUGGUGAGGUAACGGCUCACCAAGACCGCGAUGGGUAGCUGGUCUGAGAGGACGAUCAGCCACACUGGGACUGAGACACGGCCCAGACUCCUACGGGAGGCAGCAGUGGGGAAUCUUGCGCAAUGCGCGAAAGCGUGACGCAGCAACGCCGCGUGGGGGAAGACGGCCUUCGGGUUGUAAACCCCUUUCAGGAGGGACGAAGGUGCGACGGUGAAUAGCCGUUCGUACUGACGGUACCUCCAGAAGAAGCCCCGGCUAACUACGUGCCAGCAGCCGCGGUAAUACGUAGGGGGCAAGCGUUGUCCGGAAUCAUUGGGCGUAAAGCGCGCGUAGGCGGCCCGGUAAGUCCGCUCUGAAAGUCCAGGGCUUAACCCUGGAAAGCGGGUGGAUACUGCCGGGCUAGAAUCCGGAAGAGGCGAGUGGAAUUCCUGGUGUAGCGGUGGAAUGCGCAGAUAUCAGGAGGAACACCAAUAGCGAAGGCAGCUCGCUGGGACGGUAUUGACGCUAAGGCGCGAAAGCGUGGGGAGCAAACAGGAUUAGAUACCCUAGUAGUCC